UUCGCAAUGCCCGAAAGGGUGACGAAGCGACGCCGCGUGAGCGAAGAAGGCCCUAGGGUUGUAAAGCUCUGUCAAGGGUUAUGAAGUGUAGAUGGGUUAGUACCUCAUUUAUUUGACAAAGGCCCAAAAGGAAGUCACGGCUAACUCUGUGCCAGCAGCCGCGGUAAUACAGAGGUGGCGAGCGUUGUUCGGUAUUAUUGGGCGUAAAGAGCACGUAGGUGGUUUUGUAAGUCAGGUGUGAAAGCCUUCUGUUCAAAGGAAGAACGGCAUCUGAAACUGCAGAUCUUGAGUGUAGGAGGGGAGAGUGGAACUUCUGGUGGAGCGGUGAAAUGCGUAGAUAUCAGAAGGAACGUCGGCGGCGAAAGCGACUCUCUGGCCUAUUACUGACACUGAGGUGCGAAAGUUAGGGGAGCGAACGGGAUUAGAUACCCCGGUAGUCCUAACCGUAAACGAUGGGCACUAAGUAGAGGGGUUUU
rnacentral:rRNA from 1 species